AUUAAUCUUGGUAAAGUCAUGUAACUAAUUAUCUCCACUGAAAUAUGCGUGGGAGUGAUCACGUCUUACCAGCAUUGUUAGGAACUAGGUCAUGCAGAUGAUUCUAUUGGCUGAGGAGCGGUCAGGCACUUGAAUCCUUGCUGCAAGAAGGAUGGAAAAGAGCAUCCCUAUCUUUAGAAGUGAACUAAUGUGGGUGAAAUGAUUUGAUGUUUGCUUCCAAUUAAUCUGGAGACUUUUUAAGUGAUGAAGAAUAAGAAUGAAACUGAG